UACUUAGUGGCAGACGGGUGAGUAACAUGUGGGUAUCUACCCUUUGGCCUGGAAUAACACGAGGAAACUUGUGCUAAUACCGGAUAAGUCUUUACGGAGAAAGCUUUAUGCACCAUUGGAUGAGCCCGCACUUGAUUAGUUUGUUGGUAGGGUAAUGGCCUACCAAGACUAUGAUCAAUAGCUGAUUUGAGAGGAUGAUCAGCCACAUUGGGACUGAGACACGGCCCAAACUCCUACGGGAGGCAGCAGUGGGGAAUCUUGCACAAUGGAGGAAACUCUGAUGCAGCGAUGCCGCGUGAGUGAAGAAGGCCUUUGGGUUGUAAAGCUCUUUCGUCGGGGAAGAAAAUGACUGUACCCGAAUAAGAAGGUCCGGCUAACUUCGUGCCAGCAGCCGCGGUAAUACGAAGGGACCUAGCGUAGUUCGGAAUUACUGGGCUUAAAGAGUUCGUAGGUGGUUGAAAAAGUUGGUGGUGAAAUCCCAGAGCUUAACUCUGGAACUGCCAUCAAAACUUUUCAGC
rnacentral:rRNA from 1 species